rnacentral:lncRNA from 1 species
UGGAGAAUCUCCAAUAGGUGGGUGAGAAAAGCCUCUCCUGUUCCUCAGGAUGCUCCAUGGUGCAGCAGGAGCCCUACAUCAGCAGCACGGCCUAAGGUCGCCUGAGUCUGCUGCUCUGCUAACCAAGGGAGCAACGAGUCUCAGCCCUUUCCCCCUUUCCCUGUUGCAUUCUGUAAUACAUGAGCAUUGAGAAGUUGCCAGAACAAAUAUCGAGGUGCCCAGCCUAACUAUCUGCAUUGUUUAGAGCCUCUGAAGAGCUGUUUUUUAUUGCAGUUGACAAUUUGAGGUACCUAAACUCUACCAAGCCCUAGGAUCCCAACAAGCGUCCUUCACAAUAUUCACAACACAGGAAAUACCUGAUAUCCCAAAACCAUACCACAAAGCCACCCACCAGGUCUUGUCUUUGAAGUCAAAGUGGUAUGUUCCUGGGUUUAGCUGUGAGAUGCCAUCGGUAUCUGUUACAUCACUCUGUAAUAACAAGCCAGAUGCGUUCUGUGCCAUGCACCCCUGCAAUGUGCCUGUCAUGAAGUACUUCAAACACCCACUGGGGAUUUUAUGUGGAAUCGGUGUUCUCUUUGUUCUUUUAGAAAUAGUGUUUAUCUGAAGAAAACAUAUGCGUAUUACUCAGUCCUUCACGCAAGAAGACUGGCACUUGAGAUGUUCUUCACAUGCGAUCUGCUUAGCACAUCACCUUGGAGCUGUGACAGCACUUCCCAGCCAGUGCUUGCAACAUCAUCAGCUGAAAGAAUUUCACAGGGAGUGCUCUGGAUCCUGUCUCCCCUGUCCAUAAGGCAGAGUCAGUCCUAACACUGACACUCUAUUGAUUCGUGGGAAGAGAAUAUGAGCAGCUGUGAAGACUCCGUUCCCCUGAAAGGUGAGAUGGGAAAACAAAUUGCCCCCGCCACACACCAAUUUCCCCCACUAUGGGAAGCACAGCUACCUCCACUUGAUCAUUUGAGGUCAGUUUGGAAAUAUCUGCAUGCCUGUCAUUCUAGGCAGACACUAGUCAAUGCCAUUCAUAAGACUCUCACCCACUAACACUUGUCGUGAACUACUCAAACAGGGCAGGACACCAUGAUUUCCACAGGAAAAUUGGAAGGCAAAUUCAUCCCCAUGAGAAGGCAAUCAGUCCGUCCAUCCCUAAAGGUUUCAGGCAGAGUAUGAGUGAGUUUCUAGGAUUUCUAUUGCAAGACAGGAAUAAACUUCUGGCAUUACUGAAAAGCCUAUAACA